AUUGAACGCUGGCGGCAGGCCUAACACAUGCAAGUCGAGCGGUAGAGAGGUGCUUGCAUCUCUUGAGAGCGGCGGACGGGUGAGUAAUGCCUAGGAAUCUGCCUAGUGGUGGGGGAUAACGUUCGGAAACGGACGCUAAUACCGCAUACGUCCUACGGGAGAAAGCGGGGGAUCUUCGGACCUCGCGCCAUUAGAUGAGCCUAGGUCGGAUUAGCUAGUUGGUGAGGUAAUGGCUCACCAAGGCGACGAUCCGUAACUGGUCUGAGAGGAUGAUCAGUCACACUGGAACUGAGACACGGUCCAGACUCCUACGGGAGGCAGCAGUGGGGGAAUAUUGGACAAUGGGCGAAAGACCUGAUCCAGCCAUGCCGCGUGUGUGAAGAAGGUCUUCGGAUU
rnacentral:rRNA from 1 species